CCCCAGAGGAAUCUAUUUAUUCCCCUGCACGGAUACUGAAAACAAAUUGAACCUAAUGAACUCUGUUCCUUGAUUCAUUUCUGGAUAUUUUUAAAGGACAGAAGACACUGUUUCUGCAAGACGAGAGUUCUGAGUUCUGGCACCGGCUCCACCAUUCACCACUGUGUGUCCUACGGGAAGUCAUUUCCUCUGGUUCACUCUGUCUCCACUGUAAAAUGGAUACAUUCCUACCCUACAAAGUUGUUUCAGGAUCACACAGGUCAUGCAUGUUACAGGCAAAAAAACCUGCAAUACUCUUAUAAUAAACCAUUAUGAUUUCUA
rnacentral:lncRNA from 1 species